AUUGAACGCCGGCGGCAGGCUUAACACAUGCAAGUCGAGCGGGGGAAGGUAGCUUGCUACCGGACCUAGCGGCGGACGGGUGAGUAAUGCUUAGGAAUCUGCCUAUUAGUGGGGGACAACAUCUCGAAAGGGAUGCUAAUACCGCAUACGUCCUACGGGAGAAAGCAGGGGAUCUUCGGACCUUGCGCUAAUAGAUGAGCCUAAGUCGGAUUAGCUAGUUGGUGGGGUAAAGGCCUACCAAGGCGACGAUCUGUAGCGGGUCUGAGAGGAUGAUCCGCAACACUGGGACUGAGACACGGCCCAGACUCCUACGGGAGGCAGCAGUGGGGAAUAUUGGACAAUGGGGGGAACCCUGAUCCAGCCAUGCCGCGUGUGUGAAGAAGGCCUUAUGGUUGUAAAGCACUUUAAGCGAGGAGGAGGCUACUCUAGUUAAUACCUAGGGAUAGUGGACGUUACUCGCAGAAUAAGCACCGGCUAACUCUGUGCCAGCCGCCGCGGUAA
rnacentral:rRNA from 1 species